ensembl:misc_RNA Y_RNA Y RNA
GGCUGGUGCGAUGGCAGUGGGUUAUCAGAACUUAUUAACAUUAGUGUCACUAAAGUUAGUAUACCACCCCCCCCCACUGCUAAAUUUGACUGGCUUUUA